rnacentral:tRNA from 1 species
GUCCCCGUAGCUCAGUUGGACAGAGCGCAACCUUGCGGAGGUUGAGGCCAGAGGUUCAAGUCCUCUCGGGGACG